AUGCAGGGUAUGGCGCUCGCUAUUCAACACUGUGAGCUGCCUAUCAUCGUCCAGUCGGAUUCCUCGGUGGCCCUCUCUGCUUUGACUGGUACCAGCUUGACCAGAUCAGCCUAUGGACACCUUGGUGCUGAGAUUCGUCAUCUUAUGGUAGAUAGAGUUUUUAUUCCCUUGAAAAUUAGUCGUGUGCAAAAUAGGGUAGCAGAUCGUUUGGCCCUGUAUAGUCGUACAGAGAGCACUACUGUUGUAUGGCUUGGGCGAGGUCCACCGUGUGUGGAGGAACUCUUGCCUCUUGAUGUAACCCUAUGAAUAUGGAAUAAAAUUCUUUUACCAGCGCAAAAAAGAGAGUACAAUUUAGUGUAA
rnacentral:rRNA from 1 species